UUGAGAAAAACAGAGGAGCUAACAGGAAAAACAAGAAGUGCAAAGAGCAAACACAACUCCUGAGAUAUACUUCCCCCCUGCAGUAGAUGUGGGCACCUAAGCGGAUGGGCCGAGAUAUCCUCAAAUCCAGCAGCAAGAAACAGCCUUCAGGGUGGACUAGGCGAGGAGGAUGAAGAUUCUCUCCUGCUCCAUUUACACUCUCCCCUCUUAGAUCUCCUGUUCUGCUGAAGAGAUGUUUCCAGCAUCUUCUGGAACCAUGUCUGCCACACAAGAGAGGGAACUGCCUCUCUAGGUUCAAAAGGAGCAGUGGUUCGACUACAAAAGAGGAAUCGCACGGGAAAUAUACAUAUCCUGUUUGGUUUCUACAGAAUUUGCAAAAUGGAUAGAAGAAAGGAGUACUCUACACUAAGACCAUAAUGGAAACCUGUUUUAAAGUACUAAAGCUAAUUUGAAAUAUAAUACUAAAAUGUAUAGCUAUCAUAUACAUUUGGAUGAUCACAGUGAUGUGUCACAAUCUGGGCCAUAAGUAUAAGAAAAUACUUAUACUGUAUUUUUAUUCUGAAACUAUCAGUAUGAAAAAAGCUAAAAAUAAAAGCUACUUCCACACAAGCAAACGAGAACAAGUGAAGCAGACAUUUAUUGGCUGAAGUCCUAAUGAUUUUAAUGGGACUUCAGUAAUACCAGCUACUUCUGCAUGGAAUUCAACCAAUUAUGUUUUCUUUAGCUUUCUGAGGUUUUAAAUAUGUAUUACUACCACAUUAUAGGUGCUGGCAGAAUAAGAUUCUUGGAGUUUAGUUCAAUGACUUCUUAUGUAUCUUGAGAGCAAUCAGGAGAUACUAGCUGCAUGGAAAAAGGUUUAUGUUGCAGAGGCAGCAGCAUUAUAUAUUUUCAAAGCCUCUUUUAGCAUUAUAGAUCAAGAGUACUGCUAUCUUUACUCUGGACGUUUCAGCUAGGUGACAUUUAGCAAACCUUUACCCACAAGACAUAUUAUAAAGCUCUCUUUUAACUUUGUUAACUUAUUUGUUAACUUAUUGCAACUAAUUGGUUAUUGCUCCCCUACCCUCAUGCAUCCAAAACACUACUAGUAACUUGAAUGUAGCUUAUUCUAAUAUACGAACAUUCAGAACAUAACUUACCAAGAACCUUUAAUAGAAAAAACACCACAUCUCAGCAUCUAUUUUCUGUGUACACCAGGGGAGGAACUUUAAUAGAGAUGAGAUUAUUGGUUCAAAAAGCCAGUUGUACCCUGCAUCGGGGAGCUACAGAGCCUCCAGCGGAGCUGCCAUGCUUCGGCCAGGAGUCCAGCCGAUGGAAGGAGGAUGGAUGGAACUGUGUGAGCGAGGUGCGUGCACCGCCACUGACAGGGUGCCACAGAGAGGCUACCCAUCUACUGAACAUGGGCGCACUCUUCCCUUGCUAUGCCCCGGUGGACAUCAGUCACGCUUGCUUCCAAAUAUAGCUAACAAAGUAAACUCUUUGCAACACAAUCUCAAGGUCUCAUGACUGAUCUUUUUGUAAGCAACCAACCUAAUCGAAUUGAGGGACA